GGGUGAUUAGCUCAGUUGGUAGAGCAGUUGACUUUUAAUCAAUUGGUCGCAGGUUCGAAUCCUGCACGACCCACCA
rnacentral:tRNA from 21 species